rnacentral:lncRNA from 10 species
CGCUAGGUCCGCAGGGCGCUGACCCCUGGGGGCCCGAGGAGCGCCGGGCUGCUGCCCCGAGCCCCGCCCACUACAGCCUCAGUGCAUGGCGGUGGGCGCUUCCAGUAACUCAGGGGUGGGACUUUUUUCUUGCUCAGGGGAUGAGGCCGAGCCCACAGGCUUAGAAAGAAGGAACUUGAGUCCGGGCACCUGUCAUCCCAGCGCUUAGGGAGGCCGAGGCGGGUGGAUCACCUGAGGUCAGGAGUUCGAGACCAGCCUGGCCAAUAUGGCGAAACCCCCGUCUCUACUAAAAAUACAAAAAUUAGCCGAGCAUGGUGGCAUGCACUUCCAGCUACUUGGAAGGCUGAGGCGGGAGAAUGGCUUGAACCUGGGAGGCGAGGGUUGCAGUGAGCUGAGAUCGCACCACUGCACUCCAGCCUGGGUGACAGAGCGAGACUUCGUCUCAAAAAAAAAGAAGAAGAAAGAAGGAAGCUGAGGUUCAGACAGGCUAAGUCCCUACUGCAGGCUGCGGAAUCUAAAAAGGUCAUGAACUCUGAGAGUUUGAGAUGAGCCUCUAAAAGCUGUAUCAAUAGCACCUUGCACUGUUGAAGCAGAACAGUCGGAUGGUUUCCCACCACAGCUGCAUCACAUCACGAUCGCACCAACGGUGCAGGUGUUUCAGCCUCUCCAAAUCCUGUCAGUGUUGUUAUAUUCUGUUUAACGGAUAGUGACCAUGGAAACGGCAAUGAGUUAGUUCCUUAUUUCUUUGCCAGGGAAAAUAUUGCUUUCAUUUUUAAUACUUAUUACUUAAUCAUGGUAUAUGUCUUUGGUUAUACCGUGGCAAUGGCUACUGAAGAGUAUCCUGACACAUGGAUGGGGGUCAGGUCUUGACCUCUGGGGUGCUUUAUUGUUAGGGCUGUUGUUAGAGUUGG